rnacentral:SRP_RNA from 1 species
GCCGGGUGUGGUGGCGUGCACCUGUAGUCCCAGCUGCUCAGGAGGCUGAGGCAGGAGAAUCGCUUGAACCUGGGAGGUGGAGGGUGCAGUGAGCCGAGAUCACGCCACUGCACUCCAGCCUGGGCACCAAAGUGAGACUCAGUCUCAA